rnacentral:rRNA from 1 species
CGUGGGUAACCUGCCCAAGAGAUCGGGAUAACACCUGGAAACAGAUGCUAAUACCGGAUAAUAACAGAUGAUGCCUAUCAACUGUUUAAAAGAUGGUUCUGCUAUCACUCUUGGAUGGACCUGCGGUGCAUUAGCUAGUUGGUAGGGUAACGGCCUACCAAGGCGAUGAUGCAUAGCCGAGUUGAGAGACUAAUCGGCCACAUUGGGACUGAGACACGGCCCAAACUCCUACGGGAGGCAGCAGGA